rnacentral:rRNA from 1 species
AACGAACGCUGGCGGCAUGCCUAACACAUGCAAGUCGAACGAGACCUUCGGGUCUAGUGGCGCACGGGUGCGUAACGCGUGGGAGCCUGCCCUUAGGUUCGGAAUAACUCCCCGAAAGGGGUGCUAAUACCGGAUAAUGUCUUCGGACCAAAGAUUUAUCGCCUUUGGAUGGGCCCGCGUUGGAUUAGCUAGUUGGUAGGGUAAAAGCCUACCAAGGCGACGAUCCAUAGCUGGUCUGAGAGGAUGAUCAGCCACACUGGGACUGAGACACGGCCCAGACUCCUACGGGAGGCAGCAGUGGGGAAUAUUGGACAAUGGGCGAAAGCCUGAUCCAGCAAUGCCGCGUGAGUGAUGAAGGCCUUAGGGUUGUAAAGCUCUUUUACCCGGGAUGAUAAUGACAGUACCGGGAGAAUAAACUCCGGCUAACUCCGU